GACGAACGCUGGCGGCGUGCCUAAUACAUGCAAGUAGAACGCUGAAGCGAGGAGCUUACUCUUCUUGGAUGAGUUGCGAACGGGUGAGUAACGCGUAGGUAACCUGCCUUGUAGCGGGGGAUAACUAUUGGAAACGAUAGCUAAUACCGCAUAACAAUGGAUGACACAUGUCAUUUAUUUGAAAGGGGCAAUUGCUCCACUACAAGAUGGACCUGCGUUGUAUUAGCUAGUAGGUGAGGUAAUGGCUCACCUAGGCGACGAUACAUAGCCGACCUGAGAGGGUGAUCGGCCACACUGGGACUGAGACACGGCCCAGACUCCUACGGGAGGCAGCAGUAGGGAAUCUUCGGCAAUGGGGGCAACCCUGACCGAGCAACGCCGCGUGAGUGAAGAAGGUUUUCGGAUCGUAAAGCUCUGUUGUAAGUCAAGAACGGGUGUGAGAGUGGAAAGUUCACACUGUGGCGGUAGCUUACCAGAAAGGGACGGCUAACUACGUG
rnacentral:rRNA from 1 species